GGUGAAUUCAGUUUCGGCUCAGGGAUUAUGAUUUACCGCCUCUCUGGUUUGGCUCCAAGAAAGCAGCGCUCACAUCCUCUGCCUAUUUUCCUAUUUUGUUUUGCUUUCCCUUGAUGGCAGCAGCACUGAAUGUAAAAGCGACGUGGCAUGAACACAGCUUCCUGGAUUCCCACUCAGCGAGGCGAAGGACAGCACUCCAGCUCCCUGCCAAGACACCUUAUCUGCGCCUGGCAGCCUGCAGACAGGAUGGAGGGGUGAGUCCUUGGGAAGAUGAAUAGACGCUUCUUCUGGAUCAACAUGUAUUGACAAAAUGGCAAAGAGGAUUGGAUGUGAGAACGGACUGAGGGUCGACAGGAUGGCCUGAGGGGUACGCGGCCAAAAGGCGGCAGUCUAUUCUUUGACCGUGACAGUACUGUAAGUAUUUGGCUGUCAAAAUGUCCUCAGGGCUCUGCAUUGUUUCCACUUUCUUUGACGAACGAAUGAAAACCCUUCCUCCGUCAGCAGUGGUGGACAGAUCUAAGGGCAUCAUUCCUCCGUUUUAUUAUAGUUUUGUCCAUUUCAAGGCCACAUGGCUGCCAACUGGUGACUUUUAAAAGGCAAAUGUCUAAUUAAAGGCACAAAAACAAGGUCUUGUUUGGCAGGGGGAUGAUUCACUGGUUCUCUCUGUUUGAAACUGAUAAGGGUGAUUUAUUUGACUUUCCAAUUCUCUGCUGAUGUCUUUCUGUUGUUUGUUUUGGUUUGUUUUGGCACUGAAGCAUAACUUGACAUUAAAUUGAUUUUUAGGUGCGAACAAGAUUGAAAGUUCACAGUUUUGCUCCAGCUCA